GGGCUUAAUGGUAGCAGGGCUUGUGCCUGCAUCCAGAGCUGCUCUCAUACCGAUGCAAGAAGGUCGCUGCUUUUAGACAUGCUUCUCUGACUUACAUGUCCAUCACACUGAUGAGCUCGGUCACCAGUGAAAAGGAGGACAGGGCUGUAUCAGGGAAUGUCACGAUACUGAUCCUCUCCUGGGUGCUCGCAGGAUGGGAAGGGGUCAGGAGGCUUAUCCCCAUAGUGCUUAAUUUGGUACCAGCCCUUGGCACCAGUGGUUUUGGAGCUGACGCCGGUGUGCCUGUGUGCCAGGGGAGCAGUGGCCCCAGCAAGGAGGCAGGACUCAGGCUCCCUCAGCACCUCUGUGGGAUGUUUGCCCUGAUGUCAAGGUCUUGAGAGGUGCAGCAGGGGUGUUUAACCAGGAGCUAGGUGCGUGUCUGGGUAUUUAUAGGCUGGGACUGUGAGAGUUGCACUGUGUUAUCUUCAAAAGAUAGACUGGCAUGAGCCUGGGCUUGAGGAUUUUUACACGUUUUCCCUUGUUUGCGGAGCAGGACCCAGAGUGCUGUGGCUGGGGUGUCUGGAGCCGGCAGAGAUGUGCGGGAGAUGGCCAAGGGACUCAUCCCUCCUUGCUCCUAUUUUUGGAUCUGUAGAUGAACCCCUUCACUUGCUGCAGGCUGAAAUUGCUGGGGAUGGACAACAACAACCCUGGCAGGCGCUGGCAGCAGGCAGCGUGACUGGCGGCUGACGGGAUGGGGUGCUGAAACUGCCCUGAGAAGACCAUCAUUUAUGCGAUCACAUCUACAAUGUGACAAAACUCCGAAGCAACUGAGCCUUCUGGUCCUGGGAGGAGGGUGGGCUCAGAAAGGUGAGGGUCAGCACCCCAUGGUGACCCAAGGAUUGGCUUAAAAUUGCAAUGUGUUCCUUGGAGUGGGAGCAACACCCAACUUCAACUGGUGAUUUGGUGAAUCAAUCCCAACCCCCCUGGGGCAGCUGCUGCUGUGUGAAUAUAUGCUCAUGAAGGCUGUAAAUUUAUUGUCCUAUUUAUUGUCGCCUUACUACUCCUAAGCUCCAGCUUCACUUGCUGCCGCAGCCAGCACUUUCCAACGUGCCUGCCUGGAGUUAAGAUCUUGAACCCAUGUUUAAGCACCUUGGCAAACACAGUCUGCGGGUUUGCACACCCUCUAUCUGAGCUUUCGCAUGCAAAACACCCUGUUAAUAAUUAUCUGCAGCAUGGGAGUUGG